CAGGGGCACCGGAGCAGCUUACGAACGGGGCUCUCUCGCCCCGGAGCUCGCAGGGAGCAAUCCGCCACCUCGACCUCCGGGGCGAGAAAGCCCCGUUCGUAAGCUGCUCCGGUGCCCCUG
rnacentral:pre_miRNA from 1 species